GCCAGGUGAGGUUGUACACACCUGUAAUCCCAGCAGCUCAGGAGGCUGAGGUAGGAGGAUCACAAGUUCAAAGCCAGCUUCAGCAAAAGCGAGGUGCCAAGCAACUCAGUGAGACCCUGUCUCUA
rnacentral:sRNA from 1 species